ensembl:lncRNA
GUCUGUUCCAUCAUCUGUUGUUGUCUGUUCUGAAGAGAAGCCGCUGGGUGAAGAUCCCUUACCAGUUGUUCCAUUGUCUGCCGCUGUCUGCUCUGAAGAGAAGCCGCUGGGUGAAAGAAGCCGCUGGGUGAAGAUCCCUUACCAGUUGUUCCAUUGUCUGCCGCUGUCUGCUCUGAAGAGAAGCCGCUGGGUGUUGACCAUUGGCUGUUCUGAAGAGGAAUCACUAUACCCACCAUCGACUGUGUUAGCAAGGGACUGCUGAGUGGAGAUCUCGUAGCCCCAUCUGUCCGAUCCUUUGUCGUCUGUGUCGAGGAAGACUUACUGAGGGACCCCCCUUUACCUUCGCCUAAAAGGCUACCUACCAGUUCUGUCUGAAGAGGAACGAUUGAGUUGGCUUCCCGUUCUGUUAUCCGCUGGGUUGUGACUGUUGCAUCAAGGGCUCCCACUGCUGUCGGACAGAGGAGGACAGAGUUGGAACUCUUCCAUUACGUGUUUUAAUAACUAGGAUUCUAAUUCAAUAAAACUGAACUUUUAUUACUUACCUUGUUGUCUGUCUGUGGUGUCUCUGGGUAAGCUCCUUGAGGUGGUACAUUUAAUAGGGGCUCGUUCCGGCCCGUGACAACUUGGCGUAGUCGGCAGGAUUUUCCACCUUG